UACAGAGGGGGCAAGCGUUAUUCGGAAUUAUUGGGCGUAAAGGGCGCGUAGGCGGUCCUUCAAGUCUCUCGUGAAAUCCCUCGGCUUAACUGAGGACGUGCGGGAGAUACUGCUGGGCUUGAGUCCGGAAGAGGGUGGUGGAAUUCCCAGUGUAGCGGUGAAAUGCGUAGAUAUUGGGAGGAACACCGGUGGCGAAGGCGGCCACCUGGGCCGGAACUGACGCUGAGGCGCGAAAGCGUGGGGAGCGAACAGG
rnacentral:rRNA from 1 species